rnacentral:rRNA from 1 species
UACGGAGGGUGCAAGCGUUGUUCGGAAUUAUUGGGCGUAAAGGGCAGGUAGGUGGUCUGGUAAGUCUACUGUGAAAUCCCCGGGCUUAACUCGGGAAGUGCGGUGGAUACUGCCAGACUAGAGUGCUGGAGGGGUGCGUGGAAUUCCCGGUGGAGCGGUGAAAUGCGUAGAUAUCAGGAGGAACACCGGUGGCGAAGGCGGCUCUCUGGUCCACAACUGACGCUGAGGUGCGAAAGCUAGGGGAGCAAACGGG